UCUAAAAUGGUGUAAACCCUCAUAGAACAAAUCACUUUAAUAUGAUGUGACUAUAGGUUUAUAGUCUAACUUAAUAUGGAAUAUAAAUAAAUAAUCUCCAGUUAAAAAUUUUAAAUAAUUAAAGAAAUUUAAAUUUAGAUAACUAUUUAAUCUAGGCUUAUUAGGUGCCAGCAGCCGCGGUCAAACCUAAUAGGUAAACCUAAAGUAUUUGUUUUAUAGUAAUUCGAAAAACAACUAUUUGUAAAAAAUUAUUGUGUAGUGAAAUACUAAUAAUUAUUCAAAAUUUGAUUCAAACUUUAAACUAACCAAACUCCAGUAAUUAAACCUGGAUUAGAGACCCAACUAUACGGAGAUUAACAUUUAUAAAACAAGGAUUAAUGUUUACUACAAGACCCAAACUUAAAUAUUAUGGCGGCUGAGAAAAUAUCUUAGGGGAACUUACCAUAUAAUUGAUAACCACCAAGAAAAUACUACUUAUUUUUAAAAGCUUGUAUACCGUUGUCGUGAACUCGCCGCAGGCGAAUUUAAAAAUUUAUAAUAGAGUAAUACAAAUCAAAGUGCAGCCUAUAAAUAAGAAUUUAAGGUGAGUUACAGUAAAUAAUAUUUUCGGAUAAUAGAUCUAACAUCUACUAAAAGACGGACUUAAAAGUAUUAUUAAAAUGUAUAAAUAAACAAAGAAUAGUUUAUUUUCUCAGUGCACAAAU
rnacentral:rRNA from 1 species